rnacentral:rRNA from 1 species
CCUACGGGAGGCAGCAGUAGGGGAUUUUGCGCAAUGGGCGGAACCCUGACGCAGCAACGCCGCGUGAGUGUAGAACCGUUCGGGGUGUAAAGUUCUGUCAAUAAGGGCGAAUUUUGACUGUACCUGUAGAAGAAGCACCGGCUAACUCCGUGCCAGCAGCCGCGGUAAUACGUGGGGGGCAAGCGUUGUCCGGAUUCAUUGGGCGUAAAGCGUUCGUAGGCGGCGAGGUAAGUCGGAUGUUAAAGCCCGGGGCUCAACUCCGGUACUGCAUUUGGUACUAUGUAGCUAGAAUGCGGGAGGGGUAAAGGGAAUUCCUGGUGUAGCGGUGAAAUGCGUAGAUAUCAGGAGGAACAUCGGUGGCGAAAGCGCUCUACUGGACCAUUAUUGACGUUGAGGAACGAAAGCCAGGGGAGCAAAUGGGAUUAGAUACCCGUGUAGUC